GACGAACGCUGGCGGCAUGCUUAACACAUGCAAGUCGAACGGAAAGGCCCUGCUUUUGUGUUUUGCUCGACUGGCGAGCGGGUAAGUAACACGUACGUACCCUUCCCUUGACUUUAGGAUAACUUCAGGACACUGAGGCUAAUACCGGAUAGGAGCUCCUGCUGCAUGGUGGGGGUUGGAGAGUUUCGGCGGUUGUGGAUGGACUCGCGGCGUAUCAGCUUGUUGGUGGGGUAGUGGCUUACCAAGGCUUUGACGGGUAGCCGGCCUGAGAGGGUGACCGGCAACAUUGGGACUGAGAUAAGGCCCAGAAGCCUACGGGAGGCAGCAGUGGGGAAUAUUGCACAAUGGGCGGAAGCCUGAUGCAGCAACGCCGCGGGCGGGAUGACGGCCUUCGGGGUGUAAACCGCUUUCGCCUGUGACGAAGAGUGAGUGACGGUAACGGGUAAAGAAGCACCGGCUAACUACGUG
rnacentral:rRNA from 1 species